rnacentral:misc_RNA from 1 species
AAGAGCGAUAUAAAGAGUUAAAUGGUAAGUGUUGUCACUUUUUUAAUAUACUUUCACUUAAGUUGAGCAAACUCUUUUUGGAUGAAGUUAGGAUGUUUCUUUCCAGCUGGCUCUAUUACAUCAACCUUAGGUCAUGUGGUAUUUAUUGUUAGAUGCAAGGAUCCCCACACAAACAUGCUACAUGCUAAGCAAAUUGUUCAGACAUGGUUCAUUAGGUUUUAUUGUACCACUUUGAUUGUUUAAAUUGUUGGUCGAUAAAAACUGCCUAGGUGUUAAUUCUGGUCCACUGCCAUAUGGUUGGUGCUUUUCAUUUUCCAUUAUUUGUCAUAGGGUAUCCUACUCACCCUCGUUUUUCUCCUUGUAGUGUUAGAAGAACCAUACUUGAUAUGUGGCAGUUUGCUUUCUAUUGAUAACAUGAAUUUAUUGUUCACUGGGUCUUGGCAAUGAUUUAAUCACCUUUUUUUUUCUCUGAAUUGUGGUAUGUCCACAGAUUAUGAUAGGAUCAUUAAAAAU